rnacentral:rRNA from 1 species
UACGUAGGGUGCGAGCGUUGUCCGGAAUUAUUGGGCGUAAAGGGCUCGUAGGCGGUCUGUCACGUCGGGAGUGAAAACUCAGGGCUUAACCCUGAGCCUGCUUCCGAUACGGGCAGACUAGAGGUAUGCAGGGGAGAACGGAAUUCCUGGUGUAGCGGUGAAAUGCGCAGAUAUCAGGAGGAACACCGGUGGCGAAGGCGGUUCUCUGGGCAUUACCUGACGCUGAGGGAAGCGA